UAAUACGUAGGGCGCAAGCGUUGUCCGGAAUUAUUGGGCGUAAAGAGCUCGUAGGCGGUCUGUCGCGUCGGAUGUGAAAGCUCGAGGCUUAACCUCGGGUCUGCAUCCGAUACGGGCAGACUAGAGGCAGGUAGGGGAGAACGGAAUUCCCGGUGUAGCGGUGAAAUGCGCAGAUAUCGGGAGGAACACCGGUGGCGAAGGCGGUUCUCUGGGCCUGUACUGACGCUGAGGAGCGAAAGCGUGGGGAGCGAACAGGAUUAGAUACCCUGGUAGUCCACGCCGUAAACGUUGGGCGCUAGGUGUGGGGACCUUCCACGGUUUCCGCGCCGCAGCUAACGCAUUAAGCGCCCCGCCUGGGGAGUACGGCCGCAAGGCUA
rnacentral:rRNA from 1 species